rnacentral:lncRNA from 1 species
CUGGGGCCCGUUUCAUAAAACUUUUGACUUGCAACUGUAACAUCUCCCAUAUCUAUGGCAAAUCUUGUUAUUGCAAUGGCAACUUGUCAUAGUUGCAAAUAUCCGUUUCAUAAAAGCAAUGACAAAUUGUUAUCGUAAAUAAAAAUAAUUAAAUGAAAAAUAGUUCGUGAACGAGCCUGAUAUGCAGCUAACAGCCGGUUUUUUUCUUCACACACGUCGUCUGCAAUAAAAUUUUGAUGGUGACAGAAUUUACGGAAAAUUUGAAUCGGAGAUAUGGAGACCAGCAGCGUGGCAGCAGGAGCUAAUGUUGGUUGUGAUAAGGCAUAUACCACCAUCAACAAUGCUGCAAUUGCAGUCACCACCACUACUGCUGCCACCACCAUCAGUGCUGCUAAUGCCACCACCACCAGUCUGCUUCUGCCACUGCCAUCACCAUUGCCACCGCCACUACCAAGACCACUCCUGACACAAAGCCCCCAAGUCCUCAACUGACCAGAUAUUGCAGCUGGAGAAGGAUAGACCAGGAACUUCAAAGCCAGGGCUUGCCGGUCUCCUACAAUAAGAAAAUUGCCAAGGGCCCAUCUAAAGAACUUCUAGCAGAAUAUUUGGCCACAGUUGUAGAAAUGCAGAGACUAACAAACUACCACAGGUGAGGCUUUGUCCAUAGUUCCAGAAAGACACAAGAUGGUAUCAGAAAGCCAUGCCAAAAUCAAUGACUGAAGGGUUUGGAGAGCCAGAUAAAGAGCCUAGAAAUGUGAUUUAACAGUACUUCAAUCACAUGAUCAGUAGCAGGAGCAAAAACAGCAGCAAACACACGGGAGAUGUAACGACUACAUUGACCAACAACUACAGCAGCUUCCCACAAUUUCU